GUGCGCUGGGGGGCGCCAAUCAGUACCGGCAUCUCAUGAAUUACACACCCCGUCUUCGGACCGGCUGCUGGUUACUCACUUGUGUGUGGAUUUGAGGGGCACAUAUUGGACUCACCUCUGGAUUUUAGGUUGCUUUUCAAAACAAUGUAUCCAGGUGUAGCGAGCAAAAUGGAGUCUCUCAUGUCAAGCAGGAGCCUGUGUCAAGCAAUGACCGCAAGCAGUUAAGGUACUGCAGCUAGAAGAUACCACCCAGACCAACCUCAGCUGACACCCCAGAACUGAUAACGAGUAGAACCAGAGGAGGUCUGCAGAGACCCAAAACUGAUUAAAUCCCUUUAAAAAGGGAAGGAUUUUGGCAGGAAACUGUCAGACUUUUCAGACCUGAUCCCUCUAUGUCUGACCAUUUUAAAAAGGCAACUGCCCCUGAAGGCUCUGACGGACUGAUCCCUGAACAGAACAGAGAUCCUUCACUGCCUGAACAUCAGAAGCAGUAAGUGUCAAGAGCUGACCCGGACGAGACAUAUCUCAAGCCUUAUCUCAACUGUUCAGCCACGGACUGACUUUGCGUUUGGUUGGUUAACUUCCUGCACCCUUCCGUUAUCUUGUGUGUUGUGUGGCUUUAAUUCUGUCCUGCUCUGUGUGCUGUGUAAGAAGCCAAGCUUAAUCCCAUGGUGAAUUGUCAUUGAGUUUGGAAUCCUGAACCUGCUUUAUAAUUGUGAUUUAACUUUUGCUUUAUGAUUGAAUAAAGCUGACAUUGGGGAAAGACACAGAAUAUGUUCCAGGCCUUCUACUAAACCCUUUGCAUAUAUCAUCCCAUUUAAUCUUGGAACCAACCCUAAGAGUUUGAAGAAAUGGAAACUUAGAAUAUUAAGUGGCUCACCCAGGCCACAAGGCUGUCUGUCUCCUGCUUCCUUGAGCACUGACAUUCCACCUUUCUGUAUCUUGUAAGUCCUUAUCUCUUUCCAUGUAACCCAAAGAAGAGGCUCUUUGUGUUUUGCCAAAGACUAGAACCAGGUAAAACUGACCUGACUAAAGUAAACCCAUAAGGAAAGAAGUAGGCAGUAGAAGUACUGGGGCGAGAGGGGG